rnacentral:lncRNA from 1 species
GGGGCUUUGUGUAAUUAAACCUGAAUGCGGGCCCCCUGCCCCUCCCCCCAGCUUCCAUGAGGCCUGCCUCAUCCAUUACCUUUCUCCUGGUAUUGGGCCUGCCUCAUGGUUUCAAACAUGGCUGCCAUGCAGCAAGAACAGGAAAGAAAGUCUUGUUUCUAAGGAGAAACAGAAUUCAGUACAAGCGAUUUUGUCCCAAGAGGGUUUGGGGAGCUGAUUCAGUGGAUAACGGGCUUGCUGUGCAGACAUGAAGAUCUGAACUUGGAUCUUGAGC